GGGGGCGUAAGCUAAACGUCAAACUGGCAGAUUCCAACCCUGCUUUUCUCGGUUCAAAUCCGGGCGCCCCUGCCA
rnacentral:tRNA from 1 species